CAUCAGAUCUAAAACCUAGACCUCUCUCCUCUCUCCUCUUUCCCUCUAUCUUCUACCCCUAGACCCCAAAUCCAUCAUUUUGAAACCUUGGACCUCUCUUCUCUCUCCUCUCCCCGACAACCAAACCAGUUUCCACCUCAUAGGAUGGAUGGUGAAUUCAUCCCAUCACUCUCGCUUCAAAACAGACCGGAGAGAGCCCACUCUUUUCCAAUUCUUCGAGUCCUCUUUCUCUUACAUAAUCCAAAGCAACCUCUCUAUAUAUGUUUGCAGAAAAACCCGAAGCUCGAGCUCCUUUGACCCCAUGAACGGGUCAAGAAGAUCGAGUCGGUGCCUAGCAUAGAUGACGAAGAACCCCAUCGCAACUGAUUCUCUCCCGAAAGUUGUCUCCCCUCUCCUCUCUCAUGCUCAUCGAUUGUGUUGAUCUUUGAUUGUAAUUUGAUUUCAUAAGAGAAGGAACUUCCCCAAAUGGGUCUCUCAGAUGCGCCCCAGAAAUGGUUUAAGCUCAAAUCCUCAAAUAGGCAUCCACUCAGUGCUCUGUCUUUUCAUGGCGGUCUAUUUGUUCAUUCUUCUCUUGUUAUAUAUAUGUUUUUGUUGUUCCAUUUGCUCAGUUUUUGUGAAAUUUGCUUGACUAAUUAGUUUCAUUAAUUAUUUGAAUGGUUACUUCGAAGCAUAGGUCUGCUUUCUCAUGCAUCAUCAACUGUGUUUGUUAUCUGCUGUUGUAUUCAUCAAUCAGAUUUAGCUAUAGAUGAGACCAAUUCUAGAAUAACAUAAUGAAUUGUUGCUGGUUUGGGUCAAUCUUGGAACUGUCUGAUGUUUCUGCCUAAUAUAUUUUUGUGGGUAAUUCGGUAUUGUUGUGCUUCUGCAACAGUUCAUGGUUGUAUACUAGAAUUACUGAACAAGAAACUUGAAAACCAGAAAUGGGUAUCACGUAGAGGCACUGUGUUGAGCUCCUUCACAACUAAAGCUGCUUCUUUGGAAGGUAAGGCUUUCUCUACCUUCUUGGAGCAAACUCAGCAGCUUUAGCUAC